rnacentral:rRNA from 1 species
ACAUAUAAGUAAGCGGAGGACAAGAAACUAAACAGGAUCCCCAUAGUAAUGGCGAAUGAACCGGGAUAAACUCAGCAUGGAAAUUGGGGCCUUUGGCUUUGACUUGUAAUCUGGUGAGGCAUUGCCAACAGAGGCGCAUAUGUAAGUCUCUUGGAAAAGAGCAUCAACGAAGGUGAGAGUCCUGAUUGUCAUGUGCAGCCCCCCUGUGCACGGUGUGCCUUCUAAGAGUCACGUUCCUUGGGAUUGGAGCGCAAAUUGGGUGGUAACUUUCAUCUGAAGUUAAACAAUGGUUUGGGACCGAUAGGAAACAAGUACCAUGAGGGAAAGGUGAAAAGGACUUUGGAAAGAGAGUUAAAAGUGCCUGAAAUUGCUGAAGGGGAAGCGAAUGGAACCAGUAGUGCUGGGUGAGAUUGUCACAUGCUACAAGGAUUGGUUGCUGCCACAACGCAAGUGUGAUGGCAAUUUGUGAAUUGCUAGUGUGUGGUGUGUCUUACCUAGUGGGUCAUUGUGGGUUUAUGCAUUAAGAUAAGUCAAAGCAAGCGGGAGCAAGUUUACGAGUUUGUGAAUGUGUGUUGUUAUGCUUGUGCGUAAGCUUUAGUGUUUGUCUGGCUGCAGGGCUGUCCAUCCUCGAGCUGAGGGUUGCGAUGAGCAUAACCUUCUGCACAGAUCUUGACGAAAUGGUUCAUUCGACCGUCU